rnacentral:rRNA from 1 species
GACGAACGCUGGCGGCGUGCCUAACACAUGCAAGUCGAGCGAAUGAAGUUCCUUCGGGAAUGGAUUUAGCGGCGGACGGGUGAGUAACACGUGGGCAACCUGCCUCAUAGAGGGGAAUAGCCUUCCGAAAGGGAGAUUAAUACCGCAUAAGAUUGUAGUAUCGCAUGAUACAGCAAUUAAAGGAGCAAUCCGCUAUGAGAUGGGCCCGCGGCGCAUUAGCUAGUUGGUGAGGUAACGGCUCACCAAGGCGACGAUGCGUAGCCGACCUGAGAGGGUGAUCGGCCACAUUGGGACUGAGACACGGCCCAGACUCCUACGGGAGGCAGCAGUGGGGAAUAUUGCACAAUGGGGGAAACCCUGAUGCAGCAACGCCGCGUGAGUGAUGACGGCCUUCGGGUUGUAAAGCUCUGUCUUCAGGGACGAUAAUGACGGUACCUGAGGAGGAAGCCACGGCUAACCACGUG